rnacentral:rRNA from 1 species
UACGGAAGGCAGCAGUGGGGAAUAUUGCACAAUGGGCGAAAGCCUGAUGCAGCUAUGCCGCGUGUAUGAAGAAGGCCUUAGGGUUGUAAAGUACUUUCAUCGGGGAGGAAAAAACAAAACUAAUAAUUUUAUUUCUUGACGUUACCCGAAAAAGAAGCACCGGCUAACUCCGUGCCAGCAGCCGCGGUAAUACGGAGGGUGCUAGCGUUAAUCAGAAUUACUGGGCGUAAAGAGCACGUAGGUGGUUUUUUAAGUCAGAUGUGAAAUCCCUGGGCUUAACCUAGGAACUGCAUUUUGAAACUGAAAUACUAGAGUAUCGUAGAGGGAGGUAGAAUUCUAGGUGUAGCGGUGAAAUGCGUAGAUAUCUGGAGGAAUACCUGUGGCGAAAGCGGCCUCCUAAACGAAUACUGACACUGAGGUGCGAAAGCAUGGGGAGCAAACAGGGAUUAGAUACC